AUCCUUUUGUAGUUCAUAAGCGUGAUGAUUGGGUGUUCACGCGGUUGCGUGACAUGUGCCUCCCUCGAUCCUUGUUACGACUGCGGCACAUUACCCGUCUGACG
rnacentral:snoRNA from 1 species